UACGUAGGGUGCGAGCGUUGUCCGGAUUUAUUGGGCGUAAAGAGCUCGUAGGCGGUUUGUCGCGUCGGCCGUGAAAUCUCCACGCUUAACGUGGAGCGUGCGGUCGAUACGGGCAGACUUGAGUUCGGUAGGGGAGACUGGAAUUCCUGGUGUAGCGGUGAAAUGCGCAGAUAUCAGGGAGGAACACCGGUGGGCGAAGGCGGGGUCUCUGGGCCGAUACUGACGCUGGAGGAGCGAAAAGCGUGGGGGAGCGAAACAGGG
rnacentral:rRNA from 1 species